CAGUUCGGACUGGAGUCUGCAACCCGACUCCACGAAGCUGGAUUCGCUAGUAAUCGCGCAUCAGCCACGGCGCGGUGAAUACGUUCCCGGGCCUUGUACACACCGCCCGUCAAGCCAUGGGAGCCGGAGGUACCUGAAGUGCGUAACCGCGAGGAUCGCCCUAGGGUAAAACUGGUGACUGGGGCUAAGUCGUAACAAGGUAAC
rnacentral:rRNA from 1 species